rnacentral:rRNA from 1 species
AGUGAACGCUGGCGGUAGACCUAACACAUGCAAGUCGAACGGCAGCACAGUAAGAGCUUGCUCGUACGGGUGGCGAGUGGCGGACGGGUGAGGAAUACAUCGGAAUCUACUUUUUCGUGGGGGAUAACGUAGGGAAACUUACGCUAAUACCGCAUACGACCUACGGGUGAAAGCAGGGGAUCUUCGGACCUUGCGCGAUUGAAUGAGCCGAUGUCGGAUUAGCUAGUUGUCGGGGUAAAGGCCCACCAAGGCGACGAUCCGUAGCUGGUCUGAGAGGAUGAUCCGCCACACUGGCACUGAGACACGGUCCACACUCCUACGGGAGGCAGCAGUGGGGAAUAUUGGACAAUGGGCGCAAGCCUGAUCCAGCCAUACCGCGUGGGUGAAGAAGGCCUUCGGGUUGUAAAGCCCUUUUGUUGGGAAAGAAAAGCAGCAGGUUAAUACCCCGCUGUUCUGACGGUACCCAAGGAAUAAGCACCGGCUAACUUCGUG